GAGGAAUUUUGGACAAUGGGGGAAACCCUGAUCCAGCGACGCCGCGUGAAGGAUGAAGGUCUUCGGAUCGUAAACUUCUUUUGCCUGGGACUAACCGCCCCAUAGAAAUAUGGGGAAUGAAUGUACCAGGCGAAUAAGCAACGGCUAACUUCGUGCCAGCAGCCGCGGUAAUACGAAGGUUGCAAGCGUUACUCGGAAUUACUAGGCGUAAAGGGCAGGUAGGUGGUUCGGUAAGUCUGUUGUGAAAGCUCCUUGCUUAACGGGGAGAGGUCAACAGAUACUGCCGGACUUGAGUCUAGGAGAGGGUACUGGAAUUCCCGGUGUAGCGGUGAAAUGCGCAGAGAUCGGGAGGAACACCAAUGGCGAAAGCAGGUACCUGGACUAGUACUGACACUCAGCUGCGAAAGCUAGGGGAGCAAAC
rnacentral:rRNA from 1 species